rnacentral:lncRNA from 1 species
GUCGAUUUUUCACUCAACCAUUGGCCCCAAGUAUAAAGAAACCACUCGGUCCUCAUACUCUAUAUAAAAACCCAAUUCUCUCAUUCUCCUUCUGUCCUUCAUAUUCGAAACCUAUGCCCUACUCACUGUAGAGCAACUCGGUAGCCAUCUCUUGCAAGUCGCGACUUCACUCCAAAGAAUCCAAACCUUCAAAUUUCAAGUUGUAUUAGAUGGAAGAAGAAGAUGUAAGUUUAAAUUUUAUGAUUUUCUUUGUAAAUUUCAAUUUUUUUGUCCUCAAUUUUAUGCUACAAACUGUUUUUUAUUGGGAAUCGAUUAGCUUGUCUGAGAUUAGAUGUAAUUGUAUGGGUGAAUGUGGAUUAGUUGUAUUGGCUAAAGUGUGCAACUUUGUACACAUAUGGAUCAGAUUUACUAUUAAAGUUUGCAAAUUGCAGUUGUGUACAAAUACAGAUUAGAUUAACUGGUGAAAGUUUACAAUUUUGAAAUUUUAUGUUUGUAUAUAUUUGGUUGAACUUCACAGUUUUAGUAAUCUGAUGAAAGUUUGCAAUUUUGUAAUUGUAUGUAUGAAUAUGUUUGGUUGAAAGUUUGUAAUUUUGUAAUUUAUUAAUCUGGUGAAAGUUUGUAGAUUCCAUUAAUUGUGUAUUGAGCAAUUGUUGGAUUUUCUUUUUGUAGAUUCCAUUAAUUAUAUAUUGAGCAAUUGUUGUAAUUUAGUUAGCUGAGUCAUGAGCUGAGUAGGCACUACAGCUGAGGCCAUAACUAGGCCCUUGG